rnacentral:rRNA from 1 species
UACAGAGACUGCAAGCGUUAUUCGGAUUCACUGGGCGUAAAGGGUGCGCAGGCGGCCAAGUGUGUUAGGCGUGAAAGCCCGAGGCUUAACCUCGGAAUUGCACCUAAAACUACAUGGGCUAGAGUACUGGAGAGGGUAACGGAAUUCACGGUGUAGCAGUGAAAUGCGUAGAUAUCGUGAGGAACACCAGAGGCGAAGGCGGUUACCUGGACAGUUACUGACGCUCAGGCACGAAAGCGUGGGGAGCAAAAGGG